AUGCUAACCUCCCCUGUUAUUGUAAUGGUGAGAGGUUAGCAUGUUUUAGGGGCUAUGAUAUAAAAUGCUAACCUCCCCUGUUAUUGUAAUGGUGAGAGGUUAGCAUGUUUUAGGGGCUAUGAUAUAAAAUGCUAACCUCCCCUGUUAUUGUAAUGGUGAGAGGUUAGCAUGUUUUAGGGGCUAUGAUAUAAAAUGCUAAGCUCCCCUGUUAUUGUAAUGGUGAGAGGUUAGCAUGUUUUAGGGGCUAUGAUAUAAAAUGCUAAGCUCCCCUGUUAUUGUAAUGGUGAGAGGUUAGCAUGUUUUAGGGGCUAUGAUAUAAAAUGCUAAGCUCCCCUGUUAUUGUAAUGGUGAGAGGUUAGCAUGUUUUAGGGGCUAUGAUAUAAAAUGCUAAGCUCCCCUGUUAUUGUAAUGGUGAGAGGUUAGCAUGUUUUAGGGGCUAUGAUAUAAAAUGCUAAUCUCCCCUGUUAUUGUAAUGGUGAGAGGUUAGCAUGUUUUAGGGGGUAUGAUAUAAAAUGCUAAGCUCCCCUGUUAUUGUAAUGGUGAGAGGUUAGCAUGUUUUAGGGGGUAUGAUGUGUGUCUGUAUCUUUCUCAAGCAUUAUCAUUCAGGAUUCAUUCAGGAUUAUCCGUAACCACGGUAGCGUCCACAUUAAUGUAGAAGUGUCACGAAACAUAUUCUAUUCUCAUCUUCACAAUAAAAGUGAAUCCAAAAUGACACUAUACAUAAUUUACCAUUAGUUUCUAUUGGACAACCAAAACAGACAGGCAAUACAUCCAACACGUUUAUAGAGUCACAAGCUUGAUGUAAUGAUUGUGUGCCUGGUAUAUGGGACAAAACACUAAA